GUUGUUUUGAGAACGAACAAAAGAUAUCUCAGUUUCAAGGUCUCAGCUUAGAGAGAAGAAGCCUUGUGAGGUAUUGGUCUGUCACAUGAAUGAAACUAUACGAAACUAUACUAUACUCGGGCUAUACUCGGCCUUGUCUCGGGAUGGACCUGAGCCCAAGGACCAUGCCUCAGGACUACCUGGCUUGAUGACUCCUUGCUGUCCCCAGUCCACCUGGCCGUGCUGCUGCUCCAGUUCCAACUGUUCUGCCUGCGGCUAUGGAACCCUGACCUGUUCACCGGACGUGCUACCUGUCCCAGACCUGCUGUCCCAGACCUGCUGGAAACCUGACCUGUUCACCGGAUGUGCUACCUGUCCCAGACCUGCUGUUUUCAACUCUCUAGAGACAGCAGGAGCGGUAGAGAUACUCUCAAAGAUCGGCUAUGAAAAAGCCAACUGACACUUACUCUUGUGUUACUG
rnacentral:lncRNA from 1 species